rnacentral:rRNA from 1 species
GACGAACGCUGGCGGCGUGCUUAACACAUGCAAGUCGAGCGGGGAUAAAUCCUUCGGGGUUUAUUCUAGCGGCGGACGGGUGAGUAACGCGUGAGCAAUCUGUCCUACACAGGGGGGAUAACAGAUGGAAACAUCUGCUAAUACCGCAUAAGACCACGACACCACAUGGUGAUGGGGUAAAAGAUUUAUCGGUGUAGGGUGAGCUCGCGUCCGAUUAGCUAGUUGGUGAGGUAACGGCCCACCAAGGCAACGAUCGGUAGCCGACCUGAGAGGGUGAUCGGCCACAUUGGAACUGAGACACGGUCCAA